UCUGCACACCCUGUCCUGCCAUUCUCCACCACUACAGCUGUUCCACUAUUCCUCCUUUCCAAGGACGGAGCUGUGGGAAUGGGAAGACAUUUGCUGAUCUCCUUCCCUGGGAGGGAAAAUGUGGGCACUUCGAAUCGGCUGAAAAUUCCGGCAAGCUCCUGGGGACGACGACUAAGACCUGCUUCUGAGAGCUUGGAGGCUAUAGGGAAGGAUAAAAAUGUUGUAGAUUCAGGAGAGGAUCUAUCAAGUUCUUUCUCCCUUUCCUGAUCUUUUAAAUCCAGUUCUUCCCAUUUUGUCAGCAACUCGCAACUCUCCGUUAAAAUUAUCCUCGUGAAAGUUCA